rnacentral:precursor_RNA from 1 species
AGUUGGAGGUUGCUGUGAGCUGUGUGACUCCCCGGCACUCUACCAAGGG